rnacentral:lncRNA from 1 species
UUUACAUGGUUGCAGCACCUACAUGCAUGUUUUGUUUAUAAAAGUAUGCUAGAGGGUUCACAUUUUAUGUUGUCAUGGAAGUUCACGUCAUAGAUAGUUCUUUCCCUUCAAGUCUUUAAAUUAUAUACUGCCCCUCCCUCACUCCAAAGUUAUAUUUUUAUGCAACUCAAGCACCAACAUACAUACUAAUUUAGUUUUUUUUUUUUUUUUUUUUUUAUAUAUAUACAUGUAUAUAAUUACGCUAGAGGGUUCACGUUCAACGCAUUUUACAUUCUAUCGGCUUCUCCCG